ACUAGGUUUGUCAUUGAGGAGAAGACUGAAAUAAGCAGUGGAUUAUUGGCCAUGCUUGCAAUGAAUGUCAGACGCCUAGAGAUCAAUAUAUAAUUCAGCUACAACAUGACAUAAUACAAUUACACGUUUUUAAAGAAAGAUGCCUUUAAAUAAAAAGAUGUUGAUUCCUGUUACCUUUUUCUUUCGUUCUUUCUCUUUUUUUUUUUUUUUUUU